rnacentral:rRNA from 1 species
UACAUGGGGUGCAAACGUUGCUCGGAAUUAUUGGGCGUAAAGCGCACGUAGGCGGUUCGUUAAGUCGGAUGUGAAAGCCCUCGGCUCAACUGAGGAAGUGCACCCGAAACUGGCGAGCUUGAGUACGAAAGAGGAUCGCGGAAUUCCCGGUGUAGAGGUGAAAUUCGUAGAUAUCGGGAGGAACACCGGUGGCGAAGGCGGCGAUCUGGGUCGAUACUGACGCUGAGGUGGCGAAAGCGUGG